rnacentral:rRNA from 1 species
GACAGAGGGUGCAAACGUUGUUCGGAAUUACUGGGCGUAAAGCGCGUGUAGGCUGCUCGGAAAGUCGGAUGUGAAAGCCCUGGGCUCAACCUAGGAAGUGCAUUCGAAACUUCCGAGCUGGAGUGCUGGAGAGGAAGGCGGAAUUCUCGGUGUAGAGGUGAAAUUCGUAGAUAUCGAGAGGAACACCGGUGGCGAAGGCGGCCUUCUGGACAGCGACUGACGCUGAGACGCGAAAGCGUGGGGAGCGAACAGG